rnacentral:rRNA from 1 species
AUAAGCUAAAUAAAGGGCGUAUGGGGAAUGCCUAGGCUCUCAGAGGCGAUGAAGGACGUGAUAAGCUGCGAAAAGCUGCGGGGAUUGGCACAUACAAAUUGAUCCGCAGAUAUCCGAAUGGGGCAACCUCACUAUACUGAAAGGUAUAGUAUCCGCAAGGAGGCAAACCCGGAGAACUGAACAUCUAAGUACCCGGGAGGAAGAGAAAACAAUAGUGAUUCCGAUAGUAGCGG